AUUUCCUUAGUAUAGUAAUACAGAUGACUUCCAAUUAUCUAACCUUGGUGAAACCCCGGGAGGAAAUA
rnacentral:tRNA from 1 species